rnacentral:rRNA from 1 species
UACGGAGGGUGCAAGCGUUAUCCGGAUUUAUUGGGUUUAAAGGGUCCGUAGGCGGGCCUGUAAGUCAGUGGUGAAAUCUCAUAGCUUAACUAUGAAACUGCCAUUGAUACUGCAGGUCUUGAGUAAAUUUGAAGUGGCUGGAAUAAGUAGUGUAGCGGUGAAAUGCAUAGAUAUUACUUAGAACACCAAUUGCGAAGGCAGGUCACUAAGAUUUAACUGACGCUGAUGGACGAAAGCGUGGGUAGCGAACAGG